UGUGUUAUUAGUUUAAGCAGACUGUGAUUGUCUAUUGUUGUGACUUAGAUGAUGAACAGAUCAUAUUUUAUGACCAAUUUGUGCAGAAAUCCAUAUCAUUCCAAAGGGUUAACAUACUUUUUCUUGAAACUGUAUAUAUAUAUUAAUUGGGGUUGCCCCCAAAAUAUUGGGACAUAUAGAAAAAGACAACUCUGUUCUGCACAGUAGCUGUUGACAUUAUAGUUGCGCAGGAACUUUGUUGACACUAGAGAACCUCGGGCAAAUCGCACAUCCCCAUGGUGGCAACUUUGCAUGCGGAUGUCAUCCAUAUCAACGUUCAACGCAAGUUUCUGCGCCUACCAUGGUGACCACGGGUAACGUGGAAUCAGGGUUCCAUUGCAUACAGGGACCCUGAGAAACGGCUACCACACGCAAGGAAGUAGCAGGCACGCAAAUGACCCACUCUUGACGCGGGAAGGUUGUGACAACAAAUAACAAUACAGGACACUUUAGAAGCCCUGUAAUCGUAAUGAGUCCACAUGAAAUCAUUUAACUCUGAUCAAUUGGAGGGAAGUCUGGUGCAGAGCCACUGAUCCGUG